AUUGAACGCUGGCGGCAUGCCUUACACAUGCAAGUCGAACGGUAACGCGGGGCAACCUGGCGACGAGUGGCGAACGGGUGAGUAAUGUAUCGGAACGUGCCCAGUUAUGGGGGAUAACUGCUCGAAAGAGCAGCUAGUACCGCAUACGACCUGAGGGUGAAAGCGGGGGAUCGCAAGACCUCGCGCAAUUGGAGCGGCCGAUAUCAGAUUAGGUAGUUGGUGGGGUAAAGGCCCACCAAGCCAACGAUCUGUAGCUGGUCUGAGAGGACGACCAGCCACACUGGGACUGAGACACGGCCCAGACUCCUACGGGAGGCAGCAGUGGGGAAUUUUGGACAAUGGACGCAAGUCUGAUCCAGCCAUGCCGCGUGCGGGAAGAAGGCCUUCGGGUUGUAAACCGCUUUUGUCAGGGAAGAAACGCUCUGGGUUAAUACCUCGGGGUAAUGACGGUACCUGAAGAAUAAGCACCGGCUAACUACGUGCCAGCCGCCGCCGUAAUAC
rnacentral:rRNA from 1 species